CUCUUUCCCCUUCUUAAACUUUGUUCUUGUUACUGCUGCCCUUCUUCUGGCCACCCUUGUUGUUAGAGUUCCUACACCAUAUUUUUAGUGAAACUGACUUAUUUCAUUUAUCCAUCUAUACUAUUAGUACUUGGAGACACAAUAGAGAUAAUUAACUCAAAUUUCAAAACUUAUUUGUGGAGGAUUAUCUGGUACCUGCUUUAACUCUUUGAAAAUAUCAGAUUUCUUUCAAGGGUAAUUUGACUACUAUUUACUGUUAUAACCAUCACUAUGUGAUAAGCAUUCAAUCAAAUCAUUUUUUCAUUUGAGGUAAAUUAAAAAUUGGUUGAUUUUAAAACUUUAUUUUUUUCAGGCGGUUUGGUUAUUUGGAGGGGUUCUGCUUCAUUGUAGUUAAUGGCAAAGCCAGAAUUGCAGUGCAGGUCUCCUGUUUUCUCAGCCUGCAACUACUCUUUUGCACUGUAUUAUUUUGCAAGAGGCCCUCCAUAGAAAAGCAUCUUCAGGAGCUUCAGAUUACUUAAUGACAACUGACUCGACAUGUGGCUUCUAGAGCUCUCUGUAUAAAAACUUCAAAAGAUAACAGGACUACUGAAUUGCUUAAGGUGCAUAUGCAUAUGGUUUUGGGAAAAGGAGAUUGCUACAGGAAAGGGCAUAUAUAUUUCAACUUCUGAUAACCGCAAAGAAAUAGGAUCUCCUGGAUGUGUUUCAUGAAUUGGGUAAGAAGAUAACAAUAUGAAUUUGUUACAGUUUGUACGUGUUAUUUUAUUAUUUUCUGUGAAGAAUCUAGUUCAUUUCAUAGAAGACUUCUUGAGACACAUUAAUUAUUGAUUUCCAAUAAUUUUCAAAACUCUUAAAAGGUUUAAAAGCUGGAGUGACAACCCCCUUCCUCCCAUUCCCUUGUUCUCAGCUUGGUAUUAAGAAGAGAUUAUUUGCCAGAAUUCAUCAACAUCUUAAAGAAGAAAUUAAAUCACUAGGACAAAUGAACUAUUUAAAUAUUUUCUGUAAGAUUAUUAAGAAAGGAAGUAUUUUUGUUACUCCAAUUUAAAUGGAAUAGGUAGAGUAGAAAUUAUAUUGGACACUUUAUUGUGAAAAAUUGAACUGUUACCACACUUGUUAGGCAGUCACGGGGGUGGCCUUCAUAACAGAUGUACUAAUUGGAAGAAAAAAGGAUGAAUAUGUGGUACAGACUGGGUGACGAUAAUAUGAAAGUUUUAAGAAAUGUGUGUACUCCAUUGUUCUCUCCACCCAAAGAAGACUCGUAUUUAAUUCUUUUUCCAAAUGCACAUUCUGUUUGCGUAAAUCUACAUCUGCUACUAGCUUUGAACAUUGCCUGAAACGUAUGUGCAGCUUGGCAGAAAAUCUGAUAUGAAGAGAAAAGUACAGGAUCAUUUGUCUUGUUAAAUAAUGGAGCAGAGUCUUCACAGUUCCUAGUCUCCCCGUGCUUGCUGGUGUCCCACGGUGCUGCUGGGAAAGCGGCUUGUGAUUAUUUUCUUAACAGUCCUGCAUGGGUUAGCCCUCUGCUAGAACAGAUAGGAGAUUCUGAUGUAUUUCACUUCCCUAUUCUGUUUGUUGAAAUCAUUGAUUUGUUUCAGAGUUGUGGAGUUUUGUUUGUUUGUUUGCUUUUAAAGCUAUCUCUUGAUUGGGCUUAAUUUGUUUCUCUGCUACAAAGUGUGUGUACUAGAUCUGGUCUCUGUUCCCUUACUUGAUGUGUUUGUACAGGUCAUCUGUGAUCUGAGCCAGUUCUUAGUUAUAAAGCAGUCUUGGCAUAAGUUUCAAAUAGUAACAUAGAAUGAAAUAUUUUAGGAGUUUGAUUACAUAUUUGCUAUAAUUAUCAACUUUGACAUUUAAAAAUCUUUGAAGGCAGUUUCAUCAUUUAAAAUUUUACUGGACUGGUAAAUUAUUGGUUAACUUAGUGGUAGUAUCAAACAGGUACAUGCUGUGGUUUCUGAAAACCUUUAGAAAUUGUGGAUUUCUGUUGUAUUUCUUUAUGCUUUAUUUAUUCAGAAAUAAUUUAUACUUUGCCAGUAAGAAGAGAUGAAUUUUUGUAAAUGGGUGGUUGCCUGGGCUUUGAAGUCAGAUUCUGAAGUAAAAUUGAGUCCUGCCACUUUACAAGCUGUGGGAAACAGCUUUCUAAAAGGAUUUCAAUAAUCGUGAUUAGCUCGUUAGAGUUAUUGUGAGGAAUAAAGUCAGAUAACAUAUGUAGAUCACUUAGCAGGAAAUCUGACAUAAUAAGUGCUCACUAAGUGCUAGUUUCUUUCUUGGUGCUUAGCUCUACCCUUUCCCUUCAGGCUAUACAAUCUCUAUAUAUUUCAAAUAUAAUUUUAUAACAUUUUAGGAUUUGAUACAGUAUUAAGUCAUUAAGACAAUAGAUCCAUUAAAUUUAUAAAAUUUAGAUUAGGUUACUUUGUCCUUUAAGAGUUCCCUAAUGAGAUAUCUGUAAAACAUUUUCUUCCCCUUGAUCUGAGGGAGCUCGAGUUUUAGAGUAUACUGCAGCUGUACAGUAACUGUCUACUUUCUGCUCAUCCCUAGCCUGGCCAACUAUGGGCUGUUCUUUGUUCCUGUUUUUCAGAGAGAGAUUGUGUUUCAUGAGGGCUCCCUUAAAAUAAUGAAGUAAAAAAGAUAAUUUUAAAAAUGAGAGUGAGAAAUUGAAGGUGAAAAGAAUGCUAGCUAAUUAUUUGACUCCUACUGAAAAGCUUCUAAUCCAUUGUCCUCCUGGUGAUUGUUUGGCAGAGUAACUAUAGCAUUUAAAUAUAGGACAACAUAUUAUUUUCAGUGUUUUCAUAUUUGGAAACAAAACCAGAGAAAGCCCAACAAAUGUGGUGGAUUUUUAAAAAAUAUAUUAUCUAUUUUAGAGAGUAAGGGAGGAGGAGGGCAAGAUAGAAACAUCAGUGAUAAGAGAGAAUCAUCAAUCAGCUGCCUUCUGC